GCAGGAGGAUGAGACGGUUCCUGUAAACCUCAGUCAGGAGGCGUUGAAAAAGAUGAUGGAAAAACAAAUUGUCAUCCAGAGCACCCAAGACAAAAUUAUGCGAAAUCAGCGGAAAAUUAGGUUUCUGGACCUCCAAAAUCAGCAGCUGGAGCAACAGCAGAGAAAUAAUUUUGCAGAGAUGGCAGAGCUUCAGAAGCUCAUGCAGAAUUACAUUUGAUUUUUUUUUUCUUUUAAUAAAAAAUGUUUUUUUUUU